rnacentral:rRNA from 1 species
AGUGAACGCUGGCGGUAGGCCUAACACAUGCAAGUCGAACGGCAGCACAGUAAGAGCUUGCUCUUACGGGUGGCGAGUGGCGGACGGGUGAGGAAUACAUCGGAAUCUACUUUUUCGUGGGGGAUAACGUAGGGAAACUUACGCUAAUACCGCAUACGACCUACGGGUGAAAGCAGGGGAUCUUCGGACCUUGCGCGAUUGAAUGAGCCGAUGUCGGAUUAGCUAGUUGGCGGGGUAAAGGCCCACCAAGGCGACGAUCCGUAGCUGGUCUGAGAGGAUGAUCAGCCACACUGGAACUGGGACACGGUCCAGACUCCUACGGGAGGCAGCAGUGGGGAAUAUUGGACAAUGGGCGCAAGCCUGAUCCAGCCAUACCGCGUGGGUGAAGAAGGCCUUCGGGUUGUAAAGCCCUUUUGUUGGGAAAGAAAAGCAGCAGGUUAAUACCCCGCUGUUCUGACGGUACCCGAAGAAUAAGCACCGGCUAACUUCGUG